GGGAUUUUGCUGUGUUGCCCAGGCUGGUCUUGAACUUCUGGGCUCAAGUGAUCCUCUCUCCAAAGUGCUGGGAUUACAGACGUGAGCCACCACACCCAGGCUUGUUCACUUUAGUGGAAAUAUUAUUUUAUCAGAGAUGUCUUCUUAACCCCUGAUGAUGUUAGGAACCCCUUAUGAAAUGCCUUUAUUAGCCCCUCAUACCACAAAUGUAUUCACAGGUAUCUUCCCUGGGCCAUUUUUUUAAUAAUGUAUUGAGCACCUACCACAUUGCCAAGCACUAUGUUAGAAGCUGACUAUAGAGUAGUAAAUACAAUAAUAAAUUGAGACUUAUGUUUUGUAUGUCUUUAGGUUUUCUUACCUAAUUUUUCUAUUAAUUCAUUUUUAUGGCAUUCUUUAAAAGUAUUGAUCUGUGAUGGCUACUGAAUUUUAAAAAAAAUUGUCUUUUACCACAGAUAGUUUGAGAAAUAUUGAAUUAUAGCACAUUCAUUGUUUGCUAACUAAUUACAAUCUAAUUUUUCUUGGUCCAUUUUUUAAAGGAGGCAAUGCUUGAGAAAGAGUUGAAGGGAUAGUCCAUUUUUGUUAAAUAAGCAUACAGUGUUAGAUCAUGUGUAAAACUGACUUUAAUUUAUUAAUUUACUUUUGUGUUAUUUCAGGAAAUAAAAAGAACUCGACUACAAAUUACAGGGGCACAGCAGAAAGUGUGAAUGCUGGUGCAAACCUACAGAAUUAUGGUGAAACUUCUCCAGAUGCCAUCAGUACAAAUUCAGAAGGUGCUCAGGAAAAUCAUGAUGACCUGAUGUCCGUUGUGGUAUUUAAAAUUACUGGUGUUAAUGGGGAAAUUGACAUCCGA
rnacentral:sRNA from 1 species